GUGCGAAGGUAGCAUAAUCACUUGUUCUUUAAAUGAGGACUUGUAUCAACGGCACUACGAGGGCUAUACUGUCUCCUUUUUCUAAUCAGUGAAACUGAUCUCCCCNUGAAGAAGCGGGGAUCAAAAUAUAAGACGAGAAGACCCCAUGGAGCUUUAAACUCAUCACGCACCUCUGUGCCCCCAUAUCCUUAAACACAAGAGAUCUGCGUGCUAGUUUUAGGUUGGGGGGACCACGGAGUAUAACUUAACCUCCAUAACAAAUGGGCUAACACCCUUAUCCAUGAGACACAGCUCUAAGAAUUACCAAACUAAUGCUUAUGACCCGAUAUUCGAUCAAUGAACCAAGUUACCCUGGGGAUAACAGCGCAAUCUACUUCAAGAGCCCAUAUCGACAAGUAGGUUUACGACCUCGAUGUUGGAUCAGGGUAU
rnacentral:rRNA from 1 species